GACGAACGCUGGCGGCGUGCUUAACACAUGCGAGUCGAACGGAAAGGCCCUGCUUUUGUGGGGUGCUCGAGUGGCGAACGGGUGAGUAACACGUGAGUAACCUGCCCUUGACUUUGGGAUAACUUCAGGAAACUGGGGCUAAUACCGGAUAGGAGCUCCUGCUGCAUGGUGGGGGUUGGAAAGUUUCGGCGGUUGGGGAUGGACUCGCGGCUUAUCAGCUUGUUGGUGGGGUAGUGGCUUACCAAGGCUUUGACGGGUAGCCGGCCUGGGAGGGUGACCGGCCACAUUGGGACUGAGAUACGGCCCAGACUCCUACGGGAGGCAGCAGUGGGGAAUAUUGCACAAUGGGCGGAAGCCUGAUGCAGCAACGCCGCGUGCGGGAUGACGGCCUUCGGGUUGUAAACCGCUUUCGCCUGUGACGAAGCGUGAGUGACGGUAAUGGGUAAAGAAGCACCGGCUAACUACGUG
rnacentral:rRNA from 1 species